ensembl:lncRNA
ACAAAUUUUUAAAAAAUAACACAAGUUAUGUACAUUUUUAGUGUUUUUUUCAACAGAUUUCUUUCUACUCUAACUUAAGUGGUAUUUUAACCCUUGUGCUAUCCUAUGACCCCAACCUUACAUUGAUAGUUUCUUAUUAAAGAAAAUGAAUUUAAAAGGGUUUGUGCGCCCUCUGGUGGAGUGACAAAUCAUAGCAAGGAACGAACAUUAAACCAGUGUCCUAAACUGCAUUUUUUUUAUUGGUCUCAUGGGUUCAAGCCCUUACUAUUUCAUAACCAUAAAGAGUGUGACACUCAUUAUUAUUGUUUUUUUUCUAAAGGACGGGGGGAUUUAGUGCAUGAAAUAAACAUAAUGACAGAUGGUUCAGUCAGGUAGCCAUAAAGGCGAGCCAAAAUCCUCCUCCAAGGGAAACGCGGUGAUGCGUUUGAGCACAUGCUCUGUGUUUCAAAAAUGUCCUUUCUGCAGAAGCUCCGAGUAGUUUUAAACCCACUCGUGUCCGCUGCGGGAUUGUUUGAGUGCAUUGAAGUGGAUCUGAAACGCCUUGGCAACGGUCCGCAUCCACGUGCAUCACCCGGCGUUGUUUAUUUUUAGAACGGUAGAAACGGUUAUUUUUCUUUCUUUCUUUUUUUUCGUUUUGUUCAUGGCAGAGAAACCACAAACAGAAGACAUGAACCCACCAGCAAACAGGGAAUUCACGAGGAGGAGAUCUAUGUUCCUGAUGGAGUAUGAGACCCGCUUCCUCUCACCAGGCCUCGAAAAAUAUGCCUCACACAAGUAACUUUCCUUCUACUUUUCCAUUUAUUUUUAUUCUUCAGUUUUGCCCCCCCCCCCCCCUCCCACCCGUGUCCGGGUUACGUGUUAUGUUCUUGUCUGUUUCAGAAAAGACAAGAAAAGAGACCCAUCAAUGCAAAAGGCUGCGCUGCCACCAGCACCACCUAAACGACACUCUGCACCUCAGGGGGAAAAGGACAACAAGGCCUUCCAUACAACCACUUACACAGAGGAUUUUAAAGCUUGGAAAGCCAAGAAACGUCACCCAUGCAAGCUUGAGGACAACUUAGUAGCUUCCCAUGGACUGGUUCCUGUGAGGGAUUCUUCCAAAGAGAGCAGGAAGUGCCAACAGAAAGACGACCGGCUCCCGAAGGACGACGGACACUCUGAGAGGGUCACCAGCGGCAGGCUGGAUUUUUCCGCCACAGUAGAUGAGGCGCAGAAAAGCUGGAGGAUGGCCUGGACCAGUGGAGGUCAUCUCCCUCCGGCUGACGUCAGGGACUCUCUGAAGGUUUUGAAGCUCUACUCUCAGUUCAAGGAGGCUAAUCCAGCAGCAGAGCACAAGCACCAGUGGCCAAAGGCAGAGCGUGAAGCCAGCGAGGAUAAAGGCAUCGAGUGGACCGGGCUGUCUGUAAAGCCCAGAGAGAGAGGCAAGAUGGCGAUCCAGCCACCGCAAAAGGACGGCUGGGAAUCUGCUAUCCAGACAAACGAGGACGUCUCCAAACCAAACCAAAGCUGCAACAACCAGCCUCCUCAGGACUCGGUCUUGAAUUACUUCAUCAGCCUCCAUGAAGACUAA